UAGUGGUGAAGAUGGUGAUGAUGAUGAUGACAAUGACGAUGAUAGGAUAUAUCAUCAUAGUCGUCAUCGUCGUCGUCGUCAUCAUCAUCAUCAUUUAAC
rnacentral:pre_miRNA from 1 species